rnacentral:SRP_RNA from 1 species
AAUAUAAACGUGCAAUGGAAGUGAUUGAACCAGGUCAGGAUCGGAAGGUAGCAGCCUUAAGAUCCUCCUUCCAUGUGCACAUUUUUUUGUUUAUGG